UUUUUUUUUUUUUUGGGGUUUGGAUCUACGGUAGUAGUAAUAAUUUGCAGUAAAGUAAGAGGCUGGAUUUUAACCAUAUCUAGCGUGUUGUUGUAACUUCUCGUUUACAUAUUCUCUCUCGUAUCAUCUAAUUCAUACCUUCUUUCUGUUGAUUGAUCCAACGCAUCAUAGAUUUGCAAUGAAUAAGAAUCCGAUUAACAAGGAGUCAUUGAAUAUCUGAACCAUGUGAUCCAAGCACACACAGGUGCAGAAAUUUUCUUGUUUGUCAUAGAGUUAUGGUGUACUAUAUGCUUGUUUAAGUGCAUUAUAUUCAUUCUUCAAUCAACAAGACCUGAAGAGAACCGGAAUAACUGCUGAAUGCAUUCGCACAGAAGUGAGGUCAAAAUAGUGAAAUUAAGACCAAAGCAAAACCAAUUUUUGAAAAGGAGAUCAACACGAUCGAAUUUUUUUUCACACUCUUCUAGUUCUACUAAUUUGUCUCUGCAUUUCUUUAUAGGAAUUUGAUUGCCAUUUUUGUAUACUUUUUUUUGGUGUAAUUUCUCAGUGUUUGAUAAUCACAUUGAACCCUGAGUAAUUUAAUUCGAGUACUGUCAAACUCUUUUAGGGCAAUUCUCCUUCUAGAGAUUCGAAUCCGAAAUCUCUCGUUGAGUAGAUAUCAAUCAACUCCUUGCGACAGUCACACCGUUGGUCAAUUUUUUUUUUUAUACUAGUUGCACGGUAACUAGGAUUAAAAAUUGAUUUGUACCCCAAAAAUAAAUAAAUAAAUAAAUAAAUAAAUAAAUAAAUAAAGGGGGUUGAAAGUUGACAUCACGUAGGCAGGUCAAUGUUUGGGGGUCCGGUGAAUAGUUCACGUGAAGUGGAGUGAUGGGCGAUGGGAGGGUUAAUGGUGGGACUGCAACACCUAACAACCACCAGAUUUUCUUGAACAGCGUAUCCUGCUUUUUACGCACAAACAAUCGACCGCCGCUGGUAGCACCAGUGGUUGUGUUUUUCUCGAGGGCUAUGUUAUUAUUGACCGAUUGCAAGGCGAACCUUGGGCUGACGGCGAUGCUUGUAGGUACAAGAUUCCUUUUGGCGGAUAAUGGAACUACUACCGUCCGUCCGACGUACCCCAGGAAGAAUAAAAAGAAAAAAUUGUCGGUCCCCCUGUUUUUAUGAAUUUGGAAUUCUCACAAUAGAUAGAUAUGUGGUGCUUGCUUUCUUUGUGCAACAGAGUUCAAGAUACGGAAAAGGAAAAAAGAAUAAAAUACGGUAGGGUUAAACCCCGUACAGUAUAAGUUAUAACCAAAAAGAAUGAGCCGACUGUCAUUGAAGGAGCCCGAGUCUCUCAAGGUCAGUAAAUGUCGGAGAUGCGAUUUGAUCGAGCUAAACUUGGUGAGUGAACAUAAUUUUCAAUUAUCAUAAUUUGAUUGGCCAUAGCAUGUAACAUAAUUUUCAAUUAUCAUUUUAUCUCAUAUACAUUAAAUCAUUGAAUCCUGAAUGGUAUAUUUUUAUAUAGAAACUCAAAAAAGUAGCAAUUCAAUCCGAAUUAACGGAGUGGUACCAUAGGACACUAAAUGGUGUUCAUACGGGCCUGUAGCUAUCUUUUUUUUUUUUAUCACAAAUUUAGCAUUGUAUAUUUUUUUUACUCUAACAUAAUUUAAGAGGAGGUUAAAGCGGACGGGAUAGUUACGGGCCAAGAGCCCAAUAGACUGUUGGCUGCCCCUGGGUAUCUACGAUGGUAAAAUUCGAUCUUCAGGGGAGGGUUGAAAGAGAUGUGGCAAGCUGGUUGAGUCCAAGCGGAGAAACACCUCAGCACAUGGAUCGGACGUGGUGGGUCUGAGACCAGCAACCCGACAUUUGCUGAUGUGUUGUGAUCCGUUCCUGUUCCUUUCGGACUCCCGUAGAGGCCUUUUAUAUUGUCUACUGAUCUCAUUCAUAUUUUAUUUCUUUCAUUUACAAGUCAAACACAUGCCUCGGAUUUUUUUGAAUUUGCUAAUAGAACCGAUUAUUCAAGUACCUAAAUCUUCUUCUUGUUUUAUACUUCCUCCGGCAAUUCAAUUCCAGGUACGUGCUUACUUGUUUGUGUCAAUUAAUUAAAGCGCAAGCGUGCUGCUGGAUAUGUCUAUAGAAGCAACGGUAAUUGCUUUUGACAUACAUGCACUCAUCUCAGGUCAACUGUAACACAAAAUAAACCAGUAAUAGCCGCCUCUCCCACUCGUUAUCCGGCCACCUCAAUAAACUUCGAAUGCCAAUGGAUAUAUAUACAUAUAUAUAGCUUAUACGAGGAACUAUUCUUCCUGGUCAGCGUUCGUGAGUAGUGCCAACAUAGUAGUAGAGUAUUUCGUUUUCUUUUUGAUUCAUUAACUGUUCCUUACUGAUUGACUUUGACGUGGAUAGAUACUUUGGUAGUUGUAAAUAUCGUAAACCACGAUGUAAUGUUAUGUAAUGAGACUAACAAAACAACUUAACGAUGUAGUUGAAAGAAAACCAGUGGAAUGUGUUCUUGUCGGACCAACUGCCAUCAGCUUGCAUCUAUUAACCAUGUUCUAUUAAUCUGCAAUGUUAUAGAAGAAACUGAAACUGAGACCAAACACAACUUAACGGACGAAGAGUGAGAGCAAUCGGGCUCAACAGCUGUUCAUUAUACGAUACGGCAAAAACAGGCGAAAGCAUUUUCUGUACAUUUCUAAUACGACAGACUGCUUUUCUUAAAAGAGUAGAGCUGUUGUGUGUGUGUGUGUGUGUGUGUAUAUAUAUUUGUUAUUGCAAUCCCGCCACGUAUGGCUUUCCUUUUUUUUUUCUUCCUUAGAAAUUGGAGCCUUUCGAGGUACCUGUACAUUUGGAGAGGUCAAUGUUGAAUGUAUAUUUGGUGAAAUGUCUAAGCAACAAAAUGCCCCUUACUUAGUAUAGGACUUCUAAUUUCUACGAGAUGGCUAAGCCCAUCCGUACGUACCAGUAUAUCUAUAUCAUAUAGUAGUAAUUAAAAGGAAGCCAAAAGCCAAAGAUUGAAGAGAGACGAAGCUAACGACAAAAACCAAGACAAAAAUGCCAUAGCAGCAGAUAACUGAUACCGGCCACAUAUUUUUGCGCUGCAGAAUGAGCCGCCAGAAACCAUCAACAGAUCUGUUACACCAGCGGACGAACAGGAUGCAGCUAACGAUAAAAAACAUAGUACCUGUGGGAAAGAAUUCCGCACAUCUUCUUCAGUAGCUCAAUCAGUGAGUCAAAAAAAAAAAAAAGUAAAGAAAUGGAAGAAAGCAACAUACCCAAUCUCCCAUCACAACAAUUGACAUUAUUCCUGGCUGACGAGAAGGCCGUUUAACGAAUACAGAGAAUGCAUCCACCAUUGCCAAUGUUAGACUCCAAGGAAUGACUAAACCCAUGAUUGUUACCAAGAAACUGAAAAUUUAAAAACAACAAUGAAACUGAAAGCCCACUCAGUCUUAUACGACUUUGAUGACUCUGCAUUGCAACAUUCACACUCAGAUACUCUUCAACUUUAGACAAUUUUAUGCCGCAAACUACCAAGGAGAGGACAAGCCUAAAACUGGAAUCAUCUUUUGCAGUCGACUACUAAAAAAGAGCUGCUUUAUAGCAAUUGCAAAUCCAAAUAGCAGGAACACAGUAAUACUACUUGUUUUGUUUGCAUUUCUAGAUCAAAUUAUGAGUGAUUUGUUCAAACAAUGCCCAGAAAACAAGCUAGAAGCCUUUCUUUUACAUUUUUAUUUCUGUUCAGGUGCUGUUUCUCUAGGAAGAAACUCUGUGUGCUUCAGAAAAUUUGAAGUUCAAUACUUUUCUGGCAUUCAGUCAGACUGCAAUCUAAAAUUCAUGGAUUUCAGGGUCAAACUGACUUUGAGCAAUGCACUAGCUGAAGGAAAAGAUAAAAACAGCAGUAAGCAGCAUUUUUCCCAUAAACAAGUCAAACCCUAAGAGAAACAAUUAAAAACACGAACAAAGGGGAAGCUGAAGAUCACGGGAAUGGCCCUCACUAGUCCUCAAUUUAGAAUUGUGACAAACAAGGCAAAUUGCAUGCCCGUGCACCACCGGAAUUCCCAACUUCUCCCUGAAGUAAACACUGGGCACUUGAAACUAACGUCCUAUUAAAAUGUAACUUGUCGAGUAAUUACUGAUAGCCCUGUUCAGUUCAACCUACGGUUCACCUCAACAUUGGAAAAGGGAUAAUGGUAUAUUAAUUCACAAUUAAAUGACAUAGAUACAAUUGAACUUCUAAGAACACACUCAUGAGAUAAUCCCGAAACUCCUUCAGAUUUUCCACUUCUACACAACAAUGUGAUUGAGAAUAAUCAUCUGGGCCAAAAUCAUGCAGUAAAUAUGUUAGAGCACUCAAUGGCACCCAACUCUGCGCAGCCACUACUCCCUGAUGCACUGAUUAGAAUAAUCAGAUACCCGACUCAUUAGACAAGUUAACAUUUGUUUCGUCCCCCUGAGAUCCCCUAACAAGUUAACAAAAAUUUGAUUCUAUUGAUAUCGUGAAAAGUUUUACCAGCCAAUGACAUAUCUUGCAGCAUCUUGAAACAGUGAAUUGACUAAAAAAUCUUUAAUUAUGUCGAGCGCAAACAACUGUUAGUCUCAAUGUUUGAAUAAUCAAAGUUAAAGCCUCUGCCUUGAGACUCUUCAACCGGAUGUCGAGCUGAUGACUUUUGAUUAGACUAUUGCAAAUGAAUUGCGUGAAAGCCACUAAUAACUUCCACGAAAACUUCUUGAAACUAAUGGCAUUAAUUUAAUCUCAUACAAAAGAUGGAUCGAAGGAACCAAAAUUCUAGCUAACUACUUGUGCCUAUUCCAACAGUUUCACCACCAAAGGGUCACCCAUGCAAUGCAUCAUUCCACGGUCCUCUCUAGUUCCCCCUCUAUUCUUCUUCUUCUUUGGGGCGGUCUUUGAAAGAUUAAACAGAGGGUUGGUUGGUGGGGUUGAGUGCUUUGUAUUUGGCUAGAAUUAGUAGUAUUCUGACUUCUCGGGGGAGGGGUCCCCUGAGUUGUCAAACCUGAACAGUCAGACAAAAUUCCCUAGUCUACCCAACAUAAAACCGAAAAAACAAAAAUGCUUAAUCAUCACCACCAGAAUCCAGUCUUUUCCAAAGCUACAAAUUGCAAUUCACUCUGAAUUAUGAUAAUCAAAAGCAUAGACAUCGACGCAGAGACAUCCAAAAAGAUCUCCAAUUAUACAUGAUCACUGAGAAUCCCGAACUUUAAUUCAUCAAACUACAAUUGGCUGGGAAAUAAAAGAGAAAUGAGGAAAAAAUGGUGAGAAAAUAACUAAACACUCGAUCAAGAGGAAAGGGGAGAAAUGAAAAAAAAAUUAAACAAGAAGAGAAGAUGGGACAUGGAAAUCCAGUAAAAGAAAGAGUGAGAAAUACCAGAAGGCAGUGUAGCUGUAGAACUCGACAUCCAAACACAUGAAAAGCAGAGAAGCAAUAGAGAAGAUGGCCUGUCCUAAUCUCAAAGCCAAGCUGGCACUCGUCCCUAAAGCCCCCGGCAAUUCAUCCAUAUGAUCCCCAGCAAUAUUUGAUUUGUCAAAACCAUGACUGAAUUCUCCGCAUGGACAUGGGAGCCUUCCACCUUUAUGUCGAAUACGCAAACCGUAAAAGCACACUACUAGUACAAUUUGGCUUCACAAAUGAGUUCCGACAACAAACUACUGAAAUAUUUUCACAUGCGGGAGGGAGGGUUUUCGUUUUCUUGAAUUGGAUAUCUUGACGGGACGAAUUAGUUGUUCUGUCGGAAAGAAAAGAAAGAAAUGGUGGUGAUCAGCGUUUACGGAGGAGAAAGGAGAUGAUGUGGACACAAUUGGUGGAAGGACUCUUCUCACUCUCUUCUGAGUCUCUCUCUCUCUCUCUCUCUGGUUUUUCUUUUUCUUUUUAAUAUAUAUAUAUAUAUAUAUAUAUAUAUAUAUAUAUAUGUAUUGCUUUCCUUUUCAUUUAUUUUAUUGCUGGGAGGCUCUUUUAUUUGUAUAUUUUAAAGAUAAUUGCAGAAAUGAUUCCUCAUCCUCCAAAAUUUGAAAUGAUUUGAUUUUGUCCUCAACAAAUCCAAAAGCUAACAAUUAGGUCGGAAAAUCCCAUCUUUUUGCACCAAAAUAAAAUAUUGUACUCACAUCAUUAAUAAAUUUGUUAAUUAUUUGAUGCGACAAAGGAGGUCAGUACAAUAAAGGCAAUGUAUGCAUCAUAUGCUCUUUCAAUUUCCUUCUUUCGACCCUACAAAUGGAUGCCGCUUUUUCAUUCUUACCCCCGUAACUAAUUUAGUACAAUUGUAAUAAAAGAAUUUUAAUAUGCUAAGAACAAUAAUACUGUGUCAAUUUAAAUACUCCCAAGAGAGUAAGAAGAGAGAGCAGAAUUAGUGAAUGUGAGGGCGCCUGGUUGUUGGGGGGUCAAAAAAAAGCCAAUUCUUAGGAAAAGGUCAAGAGACAAAUUCCUGUAAGGGUAGUUAUACUGGGUUUCGUGGGGGGUCGUCACUUCUUAGUAGCAGUGGACCUACUGGCUUGCCCUUGUGGGGUUGCCAUCCCACAUCGAUUCUUGGGGGGGUUUGGGGUUGGAUUUAUAAGUCCCUGGGAGGACCUCAAAAGUUGCCGGUUUUUGAGGUUUCUUUUGGGAUUAGAUUUAUUAAUCUAACUUUCGUAAAAAAAAAAAAAAAAGAAGAGGGCGCCUGGUUGUAAUAUUUUUAAUUUUCAUAAAGUUUCAAGGGCCGAGCCACGCGCGAAAAUUGACAUCCAGAGGCUCCGGAGCUUGACAAGUCAUAAGUGGGCCCGACGACGUAGCUGGUUACCUUUGGCUUGUGUUGCCAAUUCGACUCGACUUUUCUUUUCUUUUCUGUGUGGAAGAAUUUGAUGCUUUUAUUGAGUAGUAGCUCGAAAUUAAAACACACCGGGAGUGAGUGGGAGACGGAUGGUGGAUUAUUUCCUUCAAAUCAAAUCAAAUCAAAUCAAUUUGGCAUGCCGAUGCGCGUCGUCAUGUUUUCUGGUCUAAAAAAUUAAUUAAAGCCUAAAUUAGAUUGUUUAAAAGUCCCCGCCCCCACCAACAAAUAAUCCUCUUUCCUUUUUUUUUUCUCUCUCUGUGUCUAAUUCUUUAUCUAUGAUGAGACAGAGAGAGUUACGUGUAAUUUGGGGGGUGAGUAGUAUUAGUUUUGGCAUUCACGACGUUAUCUGAAUUGUUUAGUAUUUUGGAGAACCGAGAGAGAGAGAGAGACGGAAUCCAGUGAGAUCCGGCUAUCUGCGGUUGCGACGUCGCGGGAGCAUUCUUUACUCCUCAACCGAAGCUUUUCUUUUGGGAUUAGGGUAUUUGUUUGUAGGGUUAAUUACAGUUUAUCCUCUUGAACUUGAUCCGUUGUAACACUUUGCCUCCUUGAACUUUAAAUAAAUAUACUUUGCCCUCUCUAUUGACUAGUCAAAUGCUAAUGAUUAAUUAUCCAUCCAAAAAUGUAAUAAAAUGAUGUUAAUGCUCUUACAUAAAAGUUCUAGAAUAAUACUAUCCUUUUAAUCGGAAUAUAAAACAUUUUAUUAGAAAAAACACAAAGUCAUAUGAUUUAAAAAUUUUUUAAAAAAUAAAAGAUGGUAUUAAACCAAAGAAUUGAAAAAUUGUAUUAUGGAGAAAAAAAGAAUUUAAACUUCCUAAAACAUCUGCAUGAGUUUUUCAUCGCUUAUCUCUCUUCCUUUAAAUUAUAAAAUUGUAUUAUGGAGAAAAAAAGAAUUUAAACUUCCUAAAACAUCUGCAUGAGUUUUUCAUCGCUUAUCUCUCUUCCUUUAAAUUAUAAACGGACUAAUUUUGAUAAUUUUCAUUUACUUUGUAGCUAUCACAAGAUUUUCAUGAUUCAAUAAAUGCUAUUUGGUAAUUUUAUAUCACAUUCAUACCUUACUUUGUAUUAUAUUUGCAUUCUACAUUAAAAAAAUUGAAAAUUCUCUAAUACAUUUUUCAAUACAUUUUUAUUUUUAUCUCAUAUAAAACACAUAAGAAAGUGGCACAAUAAAAAAUAUAAGCAAAUAAUUUUCAUUCCAAAUGCACUAAAUAACUUUAUUUCAUUAAAAUAAGUAUUGCUAUUGGCAUUGAGAUAAAUACAUUGAGUUGGUUAGACUUCUUUCUAUGAAUUAUCUAAUUCAUUUUAACACUAAAAGAUCGAAAUACAUGGUGUAAUUGUGUUUAGAUGCAUUUAGCAACUAUUAAAGAAAUAUGUAUUUAUUAUGUUAUAAUUAUUAUGUGCGUUUAAGGAUUAGCCAGGGAUAUUUUGAUCAUGAAAAAAUAUAACUUCAUCUUAACCUUGUCAAAAAGUUGACCAUAAGGGAUAAAGUGUAUAUAUUUGAAGUUGAAGGGGCAAAGUGUUACAAGGGUCCAAGUUUAAGGGAGCAAAGUGUAAAUAGUCCAAGGAGACGAUACUUUUAUCAGCUUCUAUUACAUUUGGUUUUCUCUAUCAUAUCCAAAUAAAUACUGGCUCUGUUUCUAUUAUUCAGUAUUUGAAACACAAAGCUUUUAUUGCAAUUCUUUAUAGUCCAUGUCCUUAUCCUGCAUUUGUACCUUAAUUUUUACUGAGCUCUACCUACCUAAUUAACGAGUUAAUCCCCAACUCUUUGAUCAUAUAUGUGACAAAUAAUUUAGUACUCCAUUAUAUAUAUCCAAGACUUUUACAAAUUGCGGAGGAGAGUUUUGUUCGUAAAAUUCCCCCCGGGGGGAAGGGACGUGCUACAAAACGUGGCUAUCUUUCUUUUGCCUGUUGUAUUAAUUCAUAUUCCCACUCGCUCGUAUUUUCGCUUUAUCAGCAUCCACUCCACAAACUUUUGAUUCUUAAGACUAAUUCAUUCAAGUCUUGAUGCGUAUAUCACAAUCUGAAAAUUGGUGUUCAACUCUUCAUUCAAGUCCAUCAUAUCAAACAAAGCUUACAGAAGUUGUCAUAGUUAUAGAGGUCGUAUCUUCAAAAUCUCAAGAAAUAAUUCUUUUUUUCUUCACGAGAGCCGUAAAGUAAGAGUUAUGUUUGUAACUUUCGAAUUACCACUAGAAUCCGUUUCUAGUUUGAAAACUACACAUUACACAACAAUCCCCCAAAACUCAUUUCGUACCCAAAUGUUUACUCAGGUUUUCCUAAUUAAUGAGUUACUCCCCAGCAGUUUGAUCAGUAGUAUUAUGCAAGACUUUUACAAAUUACACGGAGGAGGAGUGUCGUUUGUACAAUUGCACUGACAAGCUUGCUAUCGCUAUUGACAUGCUUGUUCUGACGUUUGAUUCAGUUUCAUUACUGUUCAGUCGAAAUUCCAUACAAACUUGGUUAAAUUUCCUUUACUGUUGUCAUCUCCCUAGCAUUCUGGAAGUCUAUCAAUUCUAACAUGUAACAUCUCGAUGCAGAGUUGAAUUUGAAACCCCCCCUUUUUUUUUUACCGGAAGAAACAUCAUCAUAAUAUACAAGCAGGAUAACUGUCUCCACGUUUCUAUGGUGGGUUUUUUGGGGGAAUGUUCAGUGGGAUAUGGAUUACCUUAAAAGCGUUACAGCAAAACUCAAUACGAAGAAAUGAGUACAUUAAUUGAUGCUCAAGACCCUCUCUAUCAUUCAAGUUGAGCAUACCAUAUUCCUUGGAUUUUUACUUCCUUGGGGGCCUUUGAUCCCAAGUCAGUGUCAGAUGGCUGAACGCUCUCAAAUACUCCAAUCACUUCUCCAGUUUCAGGCUUGCUCUUGGUUACGCUCAAGGUGAUCUUCCCUGAUGAAGAUGAAACGUUCUUGAUGUUUUCCUUCACAAGUUCCUCCUCGUCUCCUCUGCCUCCAGC
rnacentral:lncRNA from 1 species